rnacentral:rRNA from 1 species
GUACGGGAGGCAGCAGGGGGGAAUAUUGGUCAAUGGGGGAAACCCUGAACCAGCAAUGCCGCGUGAAGGAAGAAGGCCUUCGGGUUGUAAACUUCUGUGACAGGGGACGAAGAAAGUGACGGUACCCUGAGAGGAAGCCCCGGCAAACUACGUGCCAGCAGCCGCGGUAAUACGUAGGGGGCGAGCGUUGUCCGGAAUUACUGGGCGUAAAGGGCGCGUAGGCGGUUGUGCAAGUCGUCUGUGAAAUACCGAGGCUUAACCUUGGGGGUGCAGACGAAACUGCAUGGCUUGAGUGCGGUAGAGGUAAGUGGAAUUCCUAGUGUAGCGGUGAAAUGCGUAGAUAUUAGGAGGAACACCAGUGGCGAAGGCGACUUACUGGGCCGUAACUGACGCUGAGGCGCGAAAGCGUGGGGAGCAAACAGGAUUAGAUACCCCUGUAGUCCA